GCCGACAUCCGGGCAACUGAGCUACAUACGGGUUCUUCGAGCCAUAGCAACCUGACUGGCGUUGAAAACAAACCGUCGCCAUGACUCUUUAACCUGUCGACCUGCGCUGAUUAAACCCGUCAUUCUGCCUCCAAAAUGCCAAAAAACUGUGUUUUUUUUGGUUGUGCAAACCACAACUGGAAACAGGGAAAACAAAGGUCGUAUUUUGUUCUGCCAAAGCGUGCUAAAAGCCCACAGAGACGAGACAAAUGGCUCGCAGCUUUACACCGGGAAAACGAGGACGGUUCUCACUGGAGUCCCCCAAAAUCCCGGGUCGUGUGUUCGGAUCACUUCGUUUCUGGUGGAGCAGAGCAACCAGGCCGACCAGGAAGCAGAGGAUAUUUGCACUCUUCUUCACCCUCACUCAGGAUGCAGGAAGUGGUUGUUCAGCAGAGACCAAGCAUCUUUCAGGGCAAAAGUGUUAUCACUUAUCUGAUGUAAGUCUUAAUAGCUUCAUCUAUUGGCACCUUUAUGCACCCUGACUAGUUGCUUGCACAAUUCAUGUGACCAUGAAAAUGACUAAAAGUCUCAGUUCAUAUCCCGAACACUGGCAUUAAACAUACAAUAGGUAACUAAGAUAGCUGCAGGAGCUGGCAACAAUUUCACUACAGUACAGUAGAACCUUUAUUCAACCAAUUAAGAAACCCAUUGAGAUCAAGAUCUCUUUCACAAGGGUGACCUGGCUAAGAGGUCAACAGCACAUGUCACAGAGCAAAUUCAAAAAAGUAAUACGUUGAGACAUACAUUUUAAAAUACAUAAAAGAGAACUGUAAAACAAUAAAGAUCUACACCUUUUAAAAACACA